GGGCGUAAAGGGCGCGUAGGCGGGGAUAAAAGUCAGAUGUGAAAUCCCGGGGCUCAACCUCGGAACAGCAUUUGAAACUCUAUCUCUAGAGGGUAGGCGGAGAAAACGGAAUCCACAAGUAGCGGUGAAAUGCGUAGAUAUGUGGAAGAACACCGGUGGCGAAGGCGGUUUUCUAGCUUAUUCCUGACGCUGAGGCGCGAAAGCAAGGGGAUCAAGCAGGAUUAGAUACCCUGGUAGUCCUUGCUGUAAACGAUGUAUACUUGGUGUAACUGGACUCAACCCUAGUUGUGCCGGAGCUAACGCGUUAAGUAUACCGCCUGGGGAGUACAGUCGCAAGGCUGAAACUCAAAAGAAUUGACGGGGACCCGCACAAGCAGUGGAGCAUGUGGUUUAAUUCGAUGCAACGCGAAGAACCUUACCCAGGCUUGACAUGCAGUAGACCGGUCCAGAAAUGGGCCUUUCCUUCGGGACUGCUGCACAGGUGCUGCAUGGCUGUCGUCAGCUCGUGCCGUGAGGUGUUGGGUUAAGUCCCGCAACGAGCGCAACCCUUAUCAUUAGUUGCCAACAUUUAAGGUGGGAACUCUAAUGAGACUGCCCGGGUUAACCGGGAGGAAGGUGAGGAUGACGUCAAGUCCGCAUGGCCCUUAUGUCUGGGGCUACACACGUGCUACAAUGGUCGGUACAGAAGGCAGCGAAACCGCGAGGUGAAGCAAAUCCCGAAAGCCGGCCUCAGUUCAGAUUGUAGUCUGCAACUCGACUACAUGAAGACGGAAU
rnacentral:rRNA from 1 species